AUCUCCAAAAAUGGCAAUGUCAAAACAACGUCAGUGUCACGAAACACAAAACAAGGCUGACAGGCUUUUCCUCAUUAAAGGAGCCUAUAGAGUCCUGAAAACCAACCACAGUGUUGUACCUGGACCCGGCCCUGGGCUGAGAACAGUUCUAGAAAGGACUUACAGGGGACAUCUGAGAAAGGAAAGGUGGCCGACGUGGGUCCCUGGAUUCACGACGGCAGAGUGAAGCUGGCAUCUCGAAGCUGGGAGUGCUUUCCUGAUCCAUCCACGCCGCGCAAGCUGACCACACGGAAGGUUCUGCCACUCCAGAGGCUCCGGGAGACCGCAGCCCUGCUUUAGUCACUCCGGAAGCUGACUGAGCUACGCACGCCAGGAGCUUGAGGAAUCGAAGGGGAAUCGAAGGAUUGGCCGAGGCCGCCCGGGCCGGCUGCCAACGUGGGGAGAGGUUUCUGUGAACACUCACUCACCUGCCUCUCGUGGACAGGAUGCUUCGUUGGUGCCAACACAGGAAAACAAUGGCCAUGAGAGACUAGAAAAUCUGAUCCCCACAAACCUUACAGUAAAACAAAAUACCCCAGUCCUGCUGGGGUUUGGCUUCUCUAAAGCUCAAUUAUUGGGAAAAACCUUCUUGCCUGGUGGGGCAAAGUUCAUCGUCGUCUCUGUUAAAAACUUAACCUGCCUAGGCCAAAGACUUUAUAACUUAACUGCCCGGAAAACCCAAUGGCGGGGGACCCCAGAUCACCUUGAACCAGAUCUCCACCCCUGUCUAACUUCUCUCUUCCCUGAGAGGCCUGGGACAGUGUCAGCGCAGCCAUCAAAUGGCGGGUCCAGGUGGACUGUCCUAGAUACGUGGCAGGACAGCCUACAGGGCCCUCCCCCCAGGCUGGUCAGGGUCACGUGUGCUGGGAGCUCUCUGUCCACCCCUCUCCCUGCUCCCGCUUGCCAGAGGGAGACGUUUGGGAGUCCAAGUGUGUGGGGACAGGGAGACUCAGAGGAAGUGGCGUGUCCCACAAAUCAGCAAUUAAAAGACGACGAAUGGCCUCCCGAUGUAUAAUCCAAUAUCGUGGCCCUGCCACCUGGGCAGAGGACGGUGCCGGGGCCACCGCACUCCCACCUACGUGCUAACCCGCAUAAUCAGGCUGCAAGCAGUUGUAGAAAUGAUCACCAAUGAAACCGCCAGAGCUCUUGACUUACCGGCCAAGCAGCAAACCGAAAUGCACAAUGCCAUCUAUCAAAAUCGCCGGGCCUUAGACUACCUGCUUGCUUCUGAGGGAGGAGUUCAUAAAAAGUUUAAGCUGGGCACCUGCUGCCUACAGAUAGAUAAUUUUUUAAAAAAAGGUCAUAGAAGAGAUCACAGAGGAAAUGAAAAGGACUUCUCCUGCCCCCAGCCAGACCUGAAACAGUUAAAACCCCGGGUUGUUAUUUAGAGGAUGGUUUUCAACUUUCGAGGGAUUCGAAACUCUCAUAAAAAUUAUCCUCCUAAUUCUGGAAGCAUGCUUAAUCCUACCCUGCUUAGUUCCCCUGGUUGUCUCAGUCUCACUGAGGACAUGAUUUAAAAAA